rnacentral:rRNA from 1 species
UUUUUGGAGAGUUUGAUCCUGGCUCAGGAUUAACGCUGGCGGCGUGCCUAAUACAUGCAAGUCGAAUGGUAGCAAUACCAUGGCGAACGGGUGAGUAACACGUAGGUAACCUGUCUUUAAGACGAGGAUAACCGUUGGAAACGACGGAUAAUACUGGAUAGGAUAGUUGAAGGCAUCUUUGAUUAUUUAAAGAUUUAUCACUUAGAGAGGGGCCUGCGGCGCAUUAGCUAGAUGGCGGAGUAAUAGCCCACCAUGGCGAUGAUGCGUAGCCGGACUGAGAGGUUGAA